AACGCACAUUGCGCCCGCCAGUAUUCUGGCGGGCAUGCCUGUUCGAGCGUCAUUUCAACCACUCAGGCCCUGGUGCCUGGCGUCGGGGUUUCUUAUAGAUCCCCUAGAACCAGUGGCGGACCCGCCGCGGCUCCGAGCGUAGUAGUAAAAUAUCUCGCUAUGGAGGCCCGUGGGGGGAUUACCGGCCGUAAAACCUCUUCUUUACUGAAGAACUUCUCAAGGUUGACCUCGGAUCAGGUAGGAAUACCCGCUGAACUUAA
rnacentral:misc_RNA from 1 species